rnacentral:rRNA from 1 species
AUUGAACGCUGGCGGCAAGCCUAAAACAUGCAAGUCGAACGAGUGGCGGACGGGUGAGUAAUGUUUGGGAUACUGCCUGAUGGAGGGGGAUAACUACUGGAAACGGUAGCUAAUACCGCAUACCAUCGGAUGUGCCCCGAUGGGAUUAGCUAGUAGGUGGGGUAAAGGCCCCCCUAGGCGACGAUCCCUAGCUGGUCUGAGAGGAUGACCAUCCACACUGGGACUGGGACACGGUCCAGACGCCUCCGGGAGGCAGCAGUGGGGAAUAUUGCACAAUGGGAGCAAGCCUGAUGCAGCCAUGCCGCGUGUAUGAAGAGGGCCUUCGGGUUGUAAAGGACUUUCAGCGGGGAGGCGUUACCCGCAGAAGAAGCACCGGCUAACUCCGUGCCAGCAGCCGCGGUAAUAC